rnacentral:rRNA from 1 species
UACGGGGGGGGCAAGCGUUGUUCGGAAUUACUGGGCGUAAGGGGCGCGUAGGCGGCCUGCUAAGUCGGAUGUGAAAUCCCUCGGCUCAACCGAGGAACUGCAUCCGAUACUGGCGGGCUUGAAUCCGGGAGAGGGAUGUGGAAUUCCAGGUGUAGCGGUGAAAUGCGUAGAUAUCUGGAGGAACACCGGUGGCGAAGGCGGCAUCCUGGACCGGUAUUGACGCUGAGGCGCGAAAGCUAGGGGAGCAAACGGG